UCAGGAUGUCUUGAUUAAUUAUUAUAUUAUAUUAAUUUUUUGUUAUUUUAAUUUUUAAUAAAAGUAAUUUUAUUGUUUUAUUUGUUUUAGUAUAUUUAUAGAAUAGAUUUAUUUAAUUAUAAUUUAUUAGUAAUGUAAUUGAUUUAUGAAAUAUUUUUUGAUUUAAUAAAAGUAAAUUUAAUUUAUUGUACCUUUUGUAUCAGGGUUUAUUAAAAUUUAAUUAUUUAUUUAAUUAUCUCGAUUUAGAUUGAUUUACAAUCAAUUUUUUCUUAAUGUUUUAUAAUUAUAUAAAAAUUGAUUGUGGAAAUGAAAUGUUAAUCGUUUUUUAAGAUAUCUAGUUUCUUGAGAAAAAAUUCAAUUUUUUAUAGUUAAUUUUGUUUAAUUUAAUUUUUUAAUUUAUAGUAUUAACUAAUUUAUUUUUUAGGGGAUAAGCUCUAAAAAUUUUCCUAUAAUUAUUUUAAAAAAAUUUAAUAGUAGGCUUUAAACCAGCUAUCUUUAUGAUUACGUUUUAGUUCAUUAUUUUAAAUUCUGAUUUUAUAAAAUUUUUAGGUUUAUUAUUAAGAUGAUAAAUUGAAUUUUUUAAUUUUUGUAAUAAUGAUAUAAUUAGUAUAUAUAUAUAUUUAGUUUAUUAUAUUAAAUAUUUAAAUUUAUUAUAAGGAAUUAGGCAAUUUUAAUUUCCGCCUGUUUAUCAAAAACAUGUCCUCUUGAUGAUAUUUUGAGGUCUAGUCUGCUCACUGAAAUUUUUAAUAGCCGCGGUAUUUUGACCGUGCAAAGGUAGCAUAAUCAUUAGUCUUUUAAUUGAAGGCUGGAAUGAAUGGCUGGACGAGAAAUUAACUGUCUCUUAAUAAUAUAUAAAAUUUAACUUUUAAGUUAAAAGGCUUAAAUUUAUUUUUAGGACGAGAAGACCCUAUAGAGCUUGACAUAAAUAAAUAAAUUUGAUUUUUAGUUAAUUUUAUCAUAUUAAUUGUUGAUGUUUUGUUGGGGUGACAUGAAAAAUAAGUAAACUUUUCAUUUAUUAAAUCAUUGAUUUAUGUUUAUUAUGAUCCAUAAUUUAUGAUCAAAAGAUAAAGUUACCUUAGGGAUAACAGCGUAAUUGUUUUUGAGAGUUCAUAUCAACAAAAUAGAUUGCGACCUCGAUGUUGGAUUAAGAAUAAUUUUGGGUGCAGUAGCCCAUAGAUUAGGUCUGUUCGACCUUUAAAUUCUUACAUGAUCUGAGUUCAGACCGGCGUAAGCCAGGUCGGUUUCUAUCCUAAAUUAAUUAAAUAUUUAUAUUAGUACGAAAGGACCAUAUAAAUAAAAUAUUUUUUGUUUAAGAUUAACAUUAAUAUAACUAUUUUGACAGAUUAAUGUAUUGAAUUUAGAAUUCAUUUA
rnacentral:rRNA from 1 species